GUGCCAGCCGCCGCGGUAAGACGUAGGGUGCAAGCGUUGUCCGGAUUUACUGGGCGUAAAGCGCGCGUAGGCGGCUUGUUAAGUGUGAAGUGAAAGCUCCGGGCUCAACCCGGAAAUUGCUUCGCAUACUGGCUAGCUCGAGGGAUGCAGAGGUUUGUGGAAUUCCUGGUGUAGCGGUGAAAUGCGUUGAUAUCAGGAGGAACACCCAUGGCGAAGGCAGCAAACUGGGCAUCAUCUGACGCUGAGGCGCGAAAGCGUGGGGAGCAAACAGGAUUAGAUACCCUUGUAGUCC
rnacentral:rRNA from 1 species